UGGGGAAUAUUGGACAAUGGGCGAAAGCCUGAUCCAGCCAUGCCGCGUGAGUGAUGAAGGCCCUAGGGUUGUAAAGCUCUUUCACCGGUGAAGAUAAUGACGGUAACCGGAGAAGAAGCCCCGGCUAACUUCGUGCCAGCAGCCGCGGUAAUACGAAGGGGGCUAGCGUUGUUCGGAAUUACUGGGCGUAAAGCGCACGUAGGCGGACUAUUAAGUCAGGGGUGAAAUCCCGGGGCUCAACCCCGGAACUGCCUUUGAUACUGGUAGUCUUGAGUCCGGAAGAGGUGAGUGGAAUUCCGAGUGUAGAGGUGAAAUUCGUAGAUAUUCGGAGGAACACCAGUGGCGAAGGCGGCUCACUGGUCCGGUACUGACGCUGAGGUGCGAAAGCGUGGGGAGCAAACA
rnacentral:rRNA from 1 species